rnacentral:rRNA from 1 species
CUGCUGCCUCCCGUAGGAGUCUGGGCCGUGUCUCAGUCCCAAUGUGGCCGGCCAACCUCUCAGUCCGGCUACUGAUCGUCGCCUUGGUGAGCCGUUACCUCACCAACUAGCUAAUCAGACGCGAGUCCAUCUCAGAGCGAUAAAUCUUUGGCAGUCAGAGCCAUGCGACCCAACUGCAUCAUGCGGUAUUAGCAGUUGUUUCCAAUUGUUAUUCCCCACUCCAAGGCAGGUUA